GUCUGUGGUGGGGGGGAGGCCGCGACUGCUCAGCAUGCCGGGCCCCGAGGCCCCCUAGGCCCUACUGCCCCAGGCAGGGGGCUCGCCCUGGGUCACACCAAGGGCAGACGCCGGCGGUCGGACAGCCUCCCAGGCCUCACUCUAGAUAGGGGGCUUUUGAGCGCAGGACAGCCAGUGCCCUUGGUGUGGUUGGGCAGCGGGGCCCUUCAGGGCCUUCCCCGAAGGAAGAGGGAAGGUGGGGGAGGAGGGCGCAUCAGUACCUUUGAAGCAGGUGAUGAAGUUCUUCAUUUUGGAGUCAUCCAGGAAAAGCUGUAGAGAGGCAGACCGUGGCCCUUGAGUCCCAGGGGGAAUCCCGACAGAGCCGGCCCCAGGGAGAGAAGGCCUGGGCGGGCCUGAGCCCGGGCCAGUGUCCGCUUUCUUUGCUCGUCUGUGCACACCGUGUGCAGGGAGGCGCGUGGAAGAAACCCGGCACCAGGCCCCGCCUCUCACGGGAGCCUCCCUCAGGCCCCGGCCCCGCCCACCUGGCCCUGAUGAUCCACGUAGUAAAAGUACUCGCGCGUCCGCGGCUCUGGGCUCUGGCCCUGCGUGUAGGAGACGCCCCCGCCCCCACCGUAGGCCCGGGUCCCCGGGGACCGCGCCAAGCCGAGGGCCCAGGUCCGCAGCACUCCGCGCGUCGCCCACAUCGUCCUUCCGUGCCGGAAGCGGCUAGAGGGUCACGCGAGGGCGGUGCUGCGCUAACGUAAGUCCCCUGGUGUCGGCGACCUCGCGCUUUGGGUUCCGGCGGCGGCCGCGGAGCUCGUCCCCACCCCCCGGGCUUUGCUUGUUCCCCGGACCCCGGGCGGUUCCGACACUUCCUUCUCUGGGAUUUAGGGGCGCGCCGCCCUGCCGUCCGGCUGGGAAAGGGGUGGGGGGCGGGGCCUCCCGACGGUGGGGUUCGGGUGUGAGACGCGGGUGCGGGCGAUUUCGGGAACAGGGAUACGGGCUGGGGACGGGGCGCUGCCGGGCAUGCGGGCCCUGUCCCUCCGCCCUCGGAGGCUGGUUGCUCUCACGUGGGCGAGGUACCCGCCCUGUCUCUUCCCCCAACCCCUAGGAAGCCCCCCCCCCCCGGUGGGGCAAUCUGCCUGUCCAGCUGGGUGCUGAACCGAGAGGUGGUGAAUAAACACUGCCUAGAAGCCUAUGCCAGCUUGCGGGUAAGGUAGCUCAGAAAAAGCUCCCCUCCCAAUCAAGCAGGGCUUUCGGGCUCAGUUGUGAUACCCCAGGUGCCUCGCACCUUGCGCGCCUACCUGGAGUCUCGUCCCCGUUCCCGGGAAGCUGCCUUGCUCUCCCCCCCACCCCCUGCUGCCCCCAUUCAUUCUCCCUUGGCCUGGCUUCCACCCUGGUGCCCACACCAGCUACCGACUGGCCGCUGAUAGCUGCCCCGCCGCAACUGGAAGGAAUGGGAUGCGACAGGCUCGCAAGUGUCCAUACGUACUUUAUUCACACAAAGUGUCAUCUCUCGAGUCCGUGCAUCAGAGCGAGAGUCUGUGGCCGGGCCGCCCCUACCCAGGCCCCGAGACCCCCGGACUGAGGACGCUCCCCCAGUGGACACCAGGCCUCGGCAGGACUGGGUUCUUUUGUUCUUAAUAAAUAAAAACUCAACUCUAAAUAUAUAUAUAUAUAUAUAUAUAUAUAUAUAUAUAUAACCGGGGAGAAAUUAAGUUUUACCACAAUUGGAACUCAAAUUACAAAUUGGAAAAUGUACAAACUGAGAGUCUAGAUACCUCCCCUCCACCCACCCACCCUACCCCCCGCCCCGGCUCUGGCCUCGAGGAAGGGCAGUCGCCGGUGCCCCUCUGGUCCCCCAGUUCAGGGCUCCUUCCCUCUCAUCUGCUGCAGGUCCUGGAUGGGGAUGGGGCAGGGUUUGAUUUUUGGUCAGAAGCCAAGAGGGUGGAGAAGAAAAUGAAGGAAUGAUCUCAACUUGUCUGCAGAGGACGGGAGAAGCCUCAAAUAAAUAACAUUUGGGUUAAGACUA